GAUGAACGUUGGCGGUGUGCCUAAUACAUGCAAGUCGAACGGAGUUAGUAGCAAUACUGGCUCAGUGGCGAACGGGUGAGUAACGCGUUGGUGAUCUGCCUUGAAGUGUGGAAUAACGUUUCGAAAGGAACGCUAAUACCGCAUGUGCUCUCGAUUUUCAGAAAGUUGAGAGUAAAGGAUUUAUUCGCUUCAAGAGGAGCCUGCGUCCCAUCAGCUGGUUGGUAGGGUAACGGCCUACCAAGGCUAUGACGGGUAGGGGACCUGAGAGGGUCGGCCCCCCACAAUGGAACUGAAACACGGUCCAUACACCUACGGGUGGCAGCAGUAGGGAAUAUUAGAAAUGGACGAAAGUCUGAUCUAGCAACACCGCGUGUGCGAAGAAGGCCUUCGGGUCGUAAAGCACUUUUUGGAAGGAAUAGGAAGGAAUGUACUUCCAGAAUAAGUCUCGGCUAACUACGUG
rnacentral:rRNA from 1 species